AGUAAAAUGACUGAAUUAGGUGAUAAAUUGUAAAUUUAUUUAUGGGUUAAAUCCUUUUACUG
rnacentral:tRNA from 1 species